GAUGAACGCUGGCGGCGUGCCUAAUACAUGCAAGUCGAGCGAACAGACGAGGAGCUUGCCCCUCUGACGUUAGCGGCGGACGGGUGAGUAACACGUGGAUAACCUACCUAUCAGUCUGGGAUAACUUCGGGAAACCGGAGCUAAUACCGGAUAAUAUCUUGAACCGCAUGGUUCAAUAGUGAAAGACGGCUUUGCUGUCACUUCUAGAUGGAUACGGGCCGCAUUAGCUAGUUGGUAGGGUAACGGCUUACCAAGGCAACGAUGCCUAGCCGACCUGAGGGCGGGAACGGCCACACAGGAGGUGAGACGCCGUACAGGCUCCGACGGGAGGCAGCGGCAGGGAAGCUUCCGCGCUGGGCGAAAGCUUGACGGAGCAACGGCGCGUGAGUGAUGAAGGGCCGCGGGUCGUAAAACGCUGUUAUGGGUGAAGAACAAAUGUGUAAGUAACUAUGCGCGUCUUGCCGGUACCGAAACAGAAGGCCACGGCAAACUACUU
rnacentral:rRNA from 1 species